rnacentral:ncRNA from 2 species
UAAAUUUUUAAAGCGCCAGAACUUAUAGAGUUUUUAUAAGUAAAGCCUUCAAGAAAGCUUUAUUAGAGUGUCUAUAAGUUGACGAGGAUGGGGAGUAUCGAAUCUUCGGCGGGUGCCCCACGGUAUCGCACUACCGUUAACGAUUGACAAAAGCAGAGAGUAAUUUCUGUUACAAAUCAAUCUGGUGUUAAAA